GUGUAGUUUUACUCUAUGCUUCUCUCCCGUAACCUGCGAGCUCCCAGGGCCUUUCUGCUGCUUCCUCUACCCCUGUAUUUCACUCGGGUCUCCAAAUUGACUUAGCUCCAGGCUGUACAGAAAACAUAACGCCAGCAACUGCUUCUGCAGAGGCCUCAGGAAGCUUCCAAUCAUGGCAGAAGGCAAAGGAGGAGCAGAUGUCUAACACGGUGGGAGCAGGAGCAAGAGAGAUAACCAGCGAGGUGUCACAUGUUUAAACAGCCAGAUCUUACGAGAAGUCACUCACUAUCUCGAGGACAGCACCAAGGGAAUGGUCCUAAGACAUUCAUGAGAAAUCCACCCCCAUGAUCCAAUCACCUCCCACUAGGCCCCACCUACUACAUUGGGGAUUAUAUUUCAACAUGAGAUUUGGGUGGAGCCAAUAUCCAAACUAUAUUAGCAGCUAUAGAAACUUGUCACCCAGAUCUGUUGCUGUGGGGAGCAGAAAUGACCUGAGUUCCAGCUGUUGUGAUCCACCACGGCCUUCACUCAGGGUUGCUUACAGCCAGUGACUGAACACAGUGGGGGUUACAGUAGAAUUCUGUUCUUGCAGGAUGCUCUCAGGACAUUAGUGGGGCCAUUGGCAACAUUGAAUAAGGUCUUUAUAUUAAGAUAUAGUAGUGAAUCAAUGUUAAUUUCUUGAUUUUGAUAAUUAAAUUGUGGUUAUGUAAGAGAAUGUCCUUGUGUUUAGGAAAUACGCAUAGGAAUGUUU
rnacentral:lncRNA from 1 species